AUUGAACGCUGGCGGAAUGCUUUACACAUGCAAGUCGAACGGCAGCACGGGGGCAACCCUGGUGACGAGUGGCGAACGGGUGAGUAAUACAUCGGAACGUGCCCAGUCGCGGGGGAUAACGUAGCGAAAGUUACGCUAAUACCGCAUACGAUCUACGGAUGAAAGCGGGGGACCGUAAGGCCUCGCGCGAUUGGAGCGGCCGAUGUCAGAUUAGGUAGUUGGUGAGGUAAAGGCUCACCAAGCCGACGAUCUGUAGCUGGUCUGAGAGGACGACCAGCCACCCUGGGACUGAGACACGGACCAGACUCCUACGGGAGGCAGCAGUGGGGAAUUUUGGACAAUGGGCGCAAGCCUGAUCCAGCCAUUCCGCGUGCAGGACGAAGGCCUUCGGGUUGUAAACUGCUUUUGUACGGAACGAAAAGGCUCUGGUUAAUACCUGGGGCUCAUGACGGUACCGUAAGAAUAAGCACCGGCUAACUACGUGCCAGCCGCCGCGGUAA
rnacentral:rRNA from 1 species